UGCAGCAGCAGCGGGUUAGCAGUGAGCAUGGGCAGUUGUUGCGUAGAGUGCUUGUUUGUUACAGCGGACUUUAAGUGUAUAUGAAACCUCUGAAGAACGAAGGCUAUUCCCUUUUUUGCAGCAUGCAGCCAAAGAGUUUUCACGGUGGAUUUGGAGAGAAGGCUUCGAAUAAACCAGUAGCAAGAGAGCCACUUGUGUCUGCCUGUGCUUCGAGGGAAUUAGAGCGAAAACUGUUCAUCAACGCGAGUGGGCAUCAAUUAAGGACGGUGGAAACGUCACAGGUGUUCUGACAAUUUCUGCUACUUGUCGAGAACUGCUACUUUGUUUUGCGCAUGCGCAUCCGAUUUUCUGAGACCGUGUGUUGCAGCAGGUGGCGGCUCGUUGGUCCACGUUUUCACGGAAGGAUUUGGAGAGAAAGCUUUGAAUAAACCAGAAGCAAGAAAGCCACUUGUGUCUGUGCUUCAAGGGAAAUCAUAAUUCUGCAAAUACAACAGUAUCAUGACGCAUACUUUAACCAUUAAAUUAGAGCGUAUGGUGGAUUACUUACGGAAUUGUACAUAUCACCUCUGAUAUGACAAAAUAU